AGUGGCGGAAUGAACAUCUCGCGGCAAAGUAAAAAAAAGAGAAUUUUGAAAUACCUUUAGAGACGGAAUAUGUUUUAAUCGCCCGGUAGGAACUGUGAUUCGAUGCUGCGUCUGCAGGACCUCUAGCAAACUUGGAUAAUAAACAUCAACAGGGACAAGGAGGGAUGAGCUGAUGAACUGAUGUAUGAGGUGAGAAGAAGAAGACUGG